GUGAUGAGACAAAUUACACUUAGAUGGCCAAUAUGAUAAAAAUCUUAGAUAUUGCCACAUAUACAUCAAAGUUUACAUAAAAAAUUACAUAAUACACGCAUGACGCUUUAUUAUUUGUCAAUUUACGAAACAAUAAACUUUUUCAUCGAAUCUUUUCCCUUCACAUCAUUUUCGGUAUCGCUUAUAUACCAUUUUUUUGUACAAGUAGCAAAAUCCAAAAAUGUUUAAGUUGAUGAGGGACGAUAUUUUCCCUGCAAUAACUCCUCUGCCCAUUUAUUACUCGACCCCUCACCUCCAACAAUUCCUUUUGCUUUUUUUUUUCCUCUGUAUUUGUUCAAGAUCUCUUUUCUCGUGGAUUGGUUACUCGCCGAUGCGAUCACAAAUAUAUUAAAUCUUGAUAUACAUCUUUUCUUUGAAUUAUGGCUGAUGCUUCCAAAAAAUAGUACUUGAAUAAUCUCGAGUUUGAUGAUCGAACUUCAAUCUUGGAUGAACACGAACGAUCUUCGAAUACCUGAAAUAAAGGCAACGAGGUGUGUGCUCGUCGCCCCUCCGAUUCUUAAGUUAGAUAGGAAAUCUAGUGCGUGAGACUAUAAAC
rnacentral:lncRNA from 1 species